rnacentral:sRNA from 1 species
GAGACAAAAUUGUCUUUUGUGACACAAAUUUGACUUUUGUGAGACAAAAAUCAAUUUUGUCAAUUUUGUCUCACAAAAGUCAAUUUUGUCUCUCAAAAGUCAAUUUUGUCUCACAAAAGUC